UCGAGAAUCUUUGGCAAUGGGCGAAAGCCUGACCAUGCGACGCCGCGUGCGGGAUGAAGGCUUUCGGGUCGUAAACCGCUGUUACGAGGAGCGAAGUCUUCCAUUCAUAAUAAGUUUGGGAGAUUGACGGUACCUCGAGAGAAAGCCACGGCUAACUCCGUGCCAGCAGCCGCGGUAAUACGGAGGUGGCAAGCGUUGCUCGGAUUUACUGGGUGUAAAGGGUACGUAGGCGGCCUCAUAAGCCCUGCUUUAAAGGCUUGGGCUCAACCUGAGCAUGUGGUGGGGGACUGUGAGGCUUGAGGAUUGGAGAGGUGAGUGGAAUUCCCGGUGUAAGGGUGAAAUCUGUAGAUAUCGGGAGGAACACCAGUGGCGAAGGCGACUCACUGGACAAUCUCUGACGCUGAGGUACGAAAGCUAGGGGAGCCAACAGGAUUAGAUACCCUGGUAGUCCUAGCCGUAAACGAUGGACACUAGGUGUUGGUCCCUUAGUGGGACCAGUGCCGACG
rnacentral:rRNA from 1 species